rnacentral:misc_RNA from 1 species
GGACAUGAUGCAGGGGAAGACAAUGCAGAAAUUGGUCAGCCGAUGUAUAUUCCCAAGCAUUUGACAACAUGUGAACCUGUGAAGUGAUGCUUUUAUGAGUGUGAACAACUCCUUUCGGUUUACCAGUUGUACCACUAGUAUAAAUUAUCAACGCAGGAUCAUCACUCAAAUUCUCUACUGUCCCCUGAAAAACUUUAUCUGUAUCUGCUGCAUCUACUUCUAU